AGAGACACAGCAAAAGGAGGAGCUCCGCCCAAUAAGCUUUUCAGCUCCUCGGAGAACACUAUAUAAUAAUACUACUAGUAGUAAAAUGGUAAGUGAGCACCUGUCCACCCUAGAUGAGUUCAAAUCACCAGGACCAGAUGGACUACACCCCAAGGUUCUGAAGGAACUGGCAGAUGUGAUGUCAGAACCGCUGAACUAUAUCUUACAAUAAUCCUGGAGCACUGGGGAGCUACCAGAGGACUGGAAAAGAGCUGAAGUAGUUCCCAUCUUCAAAAAAGGGAAAAAA